UAAGAUGACCUAUGUGGAAGAGAUAUCCACU
rnacentral:piRNA from 1 species